rnacentral:rRNA from 1 species
AGAACGAACGCUGGCGGCAGGCUUAACACAUGCAAGUCGAGCGCCCCGCAAGGGGAGCGGCAGACGGGUGAGUAACGCGUGGGAAUCUACCGUGCCCUACGGAACAACUCCGGGAAACUGGAGCUAAUACCGUAUACGCCCUUUUGGGGAAAGAUUUAUCGGGGUAUGAUGAGCCCGCGUUGGAUUAGCUAGUUGGUGGGGUAAAGGCCUACCAAGGCGACGAUCCAUAGCUGGUCUGAGAGGAUGAUCAGCCACAUUGGGACUGAGACACGGCCCAAACUCCUACGGGAGGCAGCAGUGGGGAAUAUUGGACAAUGGGCGCAAGCCUGAUCCAGCCAUGCCGCGUGAGUGAUGAAGGCCCUAGGGUUGUAAAGCUCUUUCACCGACGAAGAUAAUGACGGUAGUCGGAGAAGAGCCCGGCUAACUUCGCGCCAGCAGCCGC